GUCAGGGGUUGUACUCGUCUUUCGCCAUGGCUUCUCUCCUGGAGAACCCCGUCGUCUCUGUCCUCACGAUUUCCGUCUUCAUCUUCCUAUUCUUCAAGUUCUGCCUCGGCAUGGAACCUGUGCCAAUCGAAGACUUCAACUGAACAACGAACUGAACCGCCGGCAAGAACCAAGACUUCCGAAACUGCAUCCUCAGGAACACUGAAGAAACAUGUUCAUCAAUGUGAUAUAUAUAAAUAAAUUUAAUUUUAGUUGUUAA